rnacentral:rRNA from 1 species
UACGAAGGGGGCUAGCGUUGCUCGGAAUUACUGGGCGUAAAGGGCGUGUAGGCGGUUUAACAAGUCAGAUGUGAAAUCCUAGGGCUUAACCCUGGAAGUGCAUUUGAAACUGUUAGACUAGAGUGUGGUAGAGGAUGGUGGAAUACCCAGUGGAGAGGUGAAAUUCGUAGAUAUUGGGUGGAACACCGGUGGCGAAGGCGGCCAUCUGGGCCACAACUGACGCUGAGGCGCGAGAGCGUGGGUAGCAAACAGG